rnacentral:rRNA from 1 species
UACGUAGGGACCAAGCGUUGUUCGGAUUUACUGGGCGUAAAGGGCGCGUAGGCGGCGCGGUAAGUCACUUGUGAAAUCUCUGAGCUUAACUCAGAACGGCCAAGUGAUACUGCAGUGCUAGAGUGUGGAAGGGGCAAUCGGAAUUCUUGGUGUAGCGGUGAAAUGCGUAGAUAUCAAGAGGAACACCUGAGGUGAAGACGGGUUGCUGGGCCAACACCGACGCUGAUGCGCGAAAGCCAGGGGAGCAAACGGG